rnacentral:rRNA from 1 species
ACUCCUACGGGAGGCAGCAGUAGGGAAUCUUCCACAAUGGGCGCAAGCCUGAUGGAGCAACACCGCGUGAGUGAAGAAGGGUUUCGGCUCGUAAAGCUCUGUCGUUAAAGAAGAACACGUAUGAGAGUAACUGUUCAUACGUUGACGGUAUUUAACCAGAAAGUCACGGCUAACUACGUGCCAGCAGCCGCGGUAAUACGUAGGUGGCAAGCGUUAUCCGGAUUUAUUGGGCGUAAAGAGAGUGCAGGCGGUUUUCUAAGUCUGAUGUGAAAGCCUUCGGCUUAACCGGAGAAGUGCAUCGGAAACUGGAUAACUUGAGUGCAGAAGAGGGUAGUGGAACUCCAUGUGUAGCGGUGGAAUGCGUAGAUAUAUGGAAGAACACCAGUGGCGAAGGCGGCUACCUGGUCUGCAACUGACGCUGAGACUCGAAAGCAU